rnacentral:rRNA from 1 species
UACGUAGGGUGCAAGCGUUGUCCGGAAUUAUUGGGCGUAAAGAGCUCGUAGGCGGUCUGUCGCGUCUGCUGUGAAAACUCAGGGCUUAACCCUGAGCUUGCAGUGGGUACGGGCAGACUAGAGUGCGGUAGGGGAGACUGGAAUUCCUGGUGUAGCGGUGAAAUGCGCAGAUAUCAGGAGGAACACCGGUGGCGAAGGCGGGUCUCUGGGCCGAUACUGACGCUGGAGGAGCGAAAGCGUGGGAGCAAACAGG